UACGAACUGUGCAAACGUUAUUCGGAUUUACUGGGCGUAAAGGGCGCGUAGGCGGUCGUGACAAGUCACUUGUGAAAUCUCCGGGCUUAACUCGGAACGGUCAAGUGAUACUGUCGGACUAGAGUACAGAAGGGGCAACUGGAAUUCUCGGUGUAGCGGUGAAAUGCGUAGAUAUCGAGAGGAACACCGGUGGCGAAGGCGGGUCUCUGGGCCGAUACUGACGCUGAGGAGCGAAAGCGUGGGGAGCGAACAGG
rnacentral:rRNA from 1 species